rnacentral:rRNA from 1 species
ACGGCGAGUGAAGAGGGAAAAGCCCAAAUUUGUAAUCUGGCUCUUUUAGAGUCCGAGUUGUAAUUUUGAGAACUGUUUUCCGUGCUGGACCAUGUACAAGUCUGUUGGAAAACAGCAUCAUUGAGGGUGAAAAUCCCGUUCAUGAUAUGGACUACCAGUGCAAUGUGAUACAGUCUCUAAGAGUCGAGUUGUUUGGGAAUGCAGCUCAAAGUGGGUGGUAAAUUCCAUCUAAGGCUAAAUAUUGGUGAGAGACCGAUAGCAAACAAGUACCGUGAGGGAAAGAUGAAAAGAACUUUGGAAAGAGAGUUAACAGUACGUGAAAUUGUUAAAAGGGAAACAUUUGAAGUUAGACUUGUUAUUGUUGGUUCAGCCUUUUAUAGGGUGUAUUCCAAUGGUUAACAGACCAGCAUCAAUUUUUGGGUGAUGGAUAAGGGUCUUGGAAAUGUAGCAAUCUCGGUUGUGUUAUAGUCCUUGACUUUGAUACAUUGCUUAGGAUUGAGGAACGCAGUAAGC